CUUCAUUCGCCUAAUAUGCUUACGCACACCUUUCAUAUGGAUGAGCUUAAUAAUUGAAAACUCCAUAAUUAGGGUGCUUACAAGUGCCUUAUCAGCUGAUACAAAAUAUUCAUCAAUGACCUUAAGUAAUGCUCGGACAUUAUUAUGAUGAUCAAAACAACCCCGGAUACUAGUCAGAAUGUUGGUCGUUAUGAACGUCACACUGAGACGAUUGCAUCAUUCCCACAUUUCAUAAAGAUGAACAUCAUCCAGAAGGUUAGUUUUUGUAAUAGAAGGUGGUUUGUUUUUCCGAAUAGUAUAAUUAAUAUCCAUUAACCCUAAAUCCUAAAUAAAGAAGAGUUCUAUC
rnacentral:lncRNA from 1 species